rnacentral:rRNA from 1 species
GAAUUUGGGCUUAGGCUUUUAAGUCGCGGCGGAAAGGUGAGUACUCCGGGUAACCUACCUAUAAGACUGGAAUAACUUCGGGAAACCGGAGCUAAUGCCGGAUAACAUUUGGAACCGCAUGGUUCUAAAGUAAAAGAUGGUUUUGCUAUCACUUAUAGAUGGACCCGCGCCGUAUUAGCUAGUUGGUAAGGUAACGGCUUACCAAGGCAACGAUACGUAGCCGACCUGAGAGGGUGAUCGGCCACACUGGAACUGAGACACGGUCCAGACUCCUACGGGAGGCAGCAGUAGGGAAUCUUCCGCAAUGGACGAAAGUCUGACGGAGCAACGCCGCGUGAGUGAUGAAGGUUUUCGGAUCGUAAAACUCUGUUAUUAGGGAAGAACAAAUGUGUAAGUAACUGUGCACAUCUUGACGGUACCUAAUCAGAAAGCCACA